GAGGCGCUGGCUGAGGCUUUCCAGCAGGCGCAUGGCCAGCGGCGGAUGCUGCUCGCAGGCACGGUGCAAGGCCGUGCGGCUCA
rnacentral:tRNA from 1 species